rnacentral:rRNA from 1 species
CCUACGGGUGGCAGCAGUGAGGAAUAUUGGUCAAUGGGCGGAAGCCUGAACCAGCCAAGUAGCGUGCAGGAUGACGGCCCUACGGGUUGUAAACUGCUUUUAUACGGGAAUCACGCGCCUUACGUGUAGGGCUUUGCAUGUAACGUAUGAAUAAGGACCGGCUAAUUCCGUGCCAGCAGCCGCGGUAAUACGGAAGGUUCGGGCGUUAUCCGGCUUUAUUGGGUUUAAAGGGAGCGUAGGCAGCAUGUCCAGCGUGGUGUGAAAUGUCCGGGCGCAACCCGGGCCUUGCAGCGCGAACUGGCGGGCUUGAGUCCGCGUAAAGCAGGCGGAAUUCGUAGUGUAGCGGUGAAAUGCUGAGAUAUGACGAAGAACCCCGAUUGCGAAGGCAGCUUGCUGCAGCGGAACUGACGCUGAUGCUCGAAAGCGCGGGUAUCGAACAGGAUUAGAUACCCGUGUAGUC